UACGAAGGGGGCUAGCGUUGUUCGGAAUCACUGGGCGUAAAGCGCACGUAGGCGGACUCUUAAGUCAGGGGUGAAAGCCUGAGGCUCAACCUCAGAACUGCCCUUGAUACUGGGAGUCUUGAGUAUGGUAGAGGUUGGUGGAACAGCAAGUGUAGAGGUGAAAUUCGUAGAUAUUUGCUAGAACACCAGUGGCGAAGGCGGCCAACUGGACCAUAACUGACGCUGAGGUGCGAAAGCGUGGGGAGCAAACAGG
rnacentral:rRNA from 1 species